CAGAUUGGAAGCGAAAAGACGUACUUCGUCAAGAAGAUUAAACAGUGUAAAAACGAAGUCUAAAGUUAAAAUAAGUAAUAAAAAUAAUAGAAAGCGUAUUGAAGCAGACGUGCGAGUGGAAAAGUAUUGUAAAAUCUAAGUAGUGAAAGAUAUUGAAACAGCCUCGUGGCAGGGGUGCUGCCGCAAGCGCUGGUCCGCUUUUCACCAAUCUCUUGGUGCAUAUAUAUUGGCUCGAAACAAGGGUAGUAAAUCUACUCCAAGGAGAUUUCGGAACCGUGCUCCAGUGCCACAUUCGAGACUGCUCGUUGAUGAUCAUCAAAUGUGUCUGGCGUUAAGUGACUUAUAUAAAUGGAUACCAAAGUCACAAGUUUAUUCAGAUCCACAAGAAAUUAUGACUUAAAAUCUGUGUUGCGUAGUGCAACAAUGAUACCCAUACAAUAAUACACCUACACACACCCACCAACAUCGACGUCAUAUUGGGCCCAAGUGCACGCAACGAUGGAAGUAUGAGUGAGUUAAUAUAGAGUAGUGAGGACUAUUUUUUUUGUAUAUCUGUUGUAUAUAUAUAUAUUUACGAUUGACAUUGCAUUGAUCUCGAACCUAUUGCCAACGUGAGCGUAAGAUAACAGUUUUCUUCAGUAAGUUAUGUUGGAAAACUGAAGUUAUUUUGUUGAA